rnacentral:rRNA from 1 species
GUGUCAGCAGCCGCGGUAAGACAGAGGUGGCUAGCGUUGUUCGGAUUUAUUGGGCGUAAAGCGCACGCAGGCGGUUUGGUAAGUCAGAGGUGAAAGCCCACGGCUUAACCGUGGCAUUGCCUUUGAUACUGCCUUUCUUGAGUAGAGUAGGGGGAAGCGGAAUUCCGAGUGUAGAGGUGAAAUUCGUAGAUAUUCGGAGGAACACCGGUGGCGAAGGCGGCUUCCUGGACUCUAACUGACGCUCAUGUGCGAAAGCGUGGGGAGCAAACAGGAUUAGAUACCCCCGUAGUCC